CCGCCCGACGCGCGCACAGUCUCGGGCCGAGCCGCGGUCCCGGCGUGGACGGGUCAGGGCGGACCCUAGUAGGCCCGGAGUUACAGCCAAAGGAGCUUUGGCUCCGCUGAGGGAGGCAGCAAGACCUGGGGCCUGGGAGGCGUCUGAGACCCAGCUCGUUGGCCCAGCCCGGAGCCGGGCAAGAGCCAGAGUGGGCCAGGCGGCGGAAGGCUGGAGUAGCACAAAUUCCGCCCGCCCCCUACCCCUCUUUACGGAGGUCUGAAGGCGGACUGGGACUAGCCCACGGUCGCACUGCUAGUUUACUGCCUUUGACACCGCUCAUCUUGGAGAAGCAAGCCACCUGCCAUGUUGUAACCAGCCCUUUGAGAGUCCCAGGUAAUGGCAAGAUUGCUGCCAGUAGCCAGUGAACAACUGAGGCAUUCUGACCAUGAUGUGAGUGAGCUUAUCUGAACCUGAAAAUAAGAUAAAUGCUGAAGAAAAUUAAACAUUCAAGGCUCCGCUCCUCAGAAUGCCAAAAUGACACUGAAAAACAUUUCUCCAGUCUUUGAACAGGUAAUUAUUUUAGCUCUAAUAAGAAUCUCAUUAGUCUAGAACCAGUAGUCUGUGAUUUACAGUUUUUCUGAGGAGAACACAGAGUGCUUAGCAUGAAGUUCCUGGCAAGUUAAAGCUGAUACUGAAGUGCUUAUGUCAUUAGAAGAAACAACAUUGAAAGUGGGCACCUUUGGACAAGAUGGUAGAGCAGGAGGACUUGAGCUCACUUCCUCUCACGAAAACAAAAUCACAACCAACUGCUGACCAACCAUAAAAAGUGGGUACCUUUGGCUAUGCAUGUUC